UAGGGAAUCUUCCACAAUGGACGCAAGUCUGAUGGAGCAACGCCGCGUGAGUGAAGAAGGUUUUCGGACCGUAAAGCUCUGUUGUUGGUGAAGAAGGAUAGAGGUAGUAACUGGCCUUUAUUUGACGGUAAUCAACCAGAAAGUCACGGCUAACUACGUGCCAGCAGCCGCGGUAAUACGUAGGUGGCAAGCGUUGUCCGGAUUUAUUGGGCGUAAAGCGAGCGCAGGCGGAAGAAUAAGUCUGAUGUGAAAGCCCUCGGCUUAACCGAGGAAUUGCAUCGGAAACUGUUUUCUUGAGUGCAGAAGAGGAGAGUAGAACUCCAUGUGUAGCGGUGGAAUGCGUAGAUAUAUGGAAGAAUACCAGUGGCGAAGGCGGCUCUCUGGUCUGCAACUGACGCUGAGGCUCGAAAGCAUGGGUAGCGAACAGGAUUAGAUACCCUGGUAGUCCAUGCCGUAAACGAUGAGUGCUAAGUGUUGGGAGGCUUCCGCCUCUCAGUGCUGCAGCUAACGCAUUGAGCACUCCGCCUGGGGGAGUACGACCGCAAGGUUGAAAC
rnacentral:rRNA from 1 species